GUGCUUGCUUCGGCAGCACAUAUACUAAAAUUGGAACGAUACAGAGAAGAUUAGCAUGGCCCCUGUACAAGAAUGACAUGCAAAUUCGUGAAGCAUUCCAUAUUUUU
rnacentral:snRNA from 1 species